rnacentral:rRNA from 1 species
UCUUUUCCUUUUUUGCCAGCCGCCGCGGUAAUACGGAGGAUGCGAGCGUUAUCCGGAUUUCUUGGGUUUAAAGGGUGCGUAGGUGGUGAUUUAAGUCAGCGGUGAAAGUUUGUGGCUCAACCAUAAAAUUGCCGUUGAAACUGGGUUACUUGAGUGUGUUUGAGGUAGGCGGAAUGCGUGGUGUAGCGGUGAAAUGCAUAGAUAUCACGCAGAACUCCGAUUGCGAAGGCAGCUUACUAAACCAUAACUGACACUGAAGCACGAAAGCGUGGGGAUCAAACAGG